GCCGUCUUAGCACAGGGGUUAGUGCGUUUGAUUCGUAAUCAAAAGAUCAUGGGUUCGAAUCCCAUAGACGGCU